UUAGCAAUGACCUCUGUGAUGGAAGAAAAGUAAAUUGAAUUUGAUACCAGGGAAUAUUUUACUGACUGUCUUUUCAACUCACAGUUCAAUAAAAUUUGUCAGUUGCUGUGGAAGUAUUUCCAACUUGUCUGGUAAAGUACCACAAUUAUAAAAGACUGACAAAAAUCGGAGCACAAACUCUUCAGCCAAGUUCAGCAUCAGAAGCAACAGUGAAGCAGAUGUCUGCUUUCUGUGUCUGACAGGGGACCCAAUCCAUUGCUUUUUGACGUCAAUAGGACUGGGGCUUUUUCAAGGGCAUGCAUUUAUCUUGUCAAUGUGGUCUAACCAGCUGGCCUCGCUUCACUGCUCUGGUCUCACACAGCUCACAGAGAAAAGAUUUAUUCAAGUUUCAUUUAACCUCUGCAAUAUGUUCUGUGGUUGCUGCCGUCCUCCUAUAGUGUGAGGAGCUUCAUGGAGCACUGUGCUCUCUGGCCAAGCAGACACAGCAAAAAGAGAGAGAAGAAUUUAAACUGUGGAAUGCAGCUCUACUAUUUUUAGAUGGUCUGAAGUGCAAACUGCUUUAAAAAGGGACUGGAAAAACAGGAGAGAACUGGCUAAUGAAUAGCUAUUGAAGACAAUUGUGUGGACGCAACCUGUGACUUGAGAUACUAUCCCCAUUUAUUACUAACAGAUACGGAGCACACAAACCAAUCCACUGAAACGCAAAAUUAUAACGUACAGAUUUAUGCAAGAGGGAUGACUGCAAAGUGCGCUGCAUGAGCAGUGUAAGAAGCUGAAAAUUGCUGCUGUUGUAGCUGUCAUAGGCACAUUAUUUUCUUUGGGAUUAACAGGGAAUGUGAAUGUCUUACGGACUUCAGAGGAGAAGGGGGACAAAAAAUAAAUCUCUGGUGUUUGGUAGGAUUGUUGCCCUAAAUUCAGCCCCUUACCCAGCCUUUCUCCACUAGCUUUUCAUCUGCCGUUCCCCACUGGCCUAAAGCAACACAUUUGAUAUACCUCUAAGCAUAAAAAUCUUUUUGGGUUCCUAUAGUCCCUUGUCCCCCCAGAAUUCACAGAUGCAUCCAUUUUCAGGAAGCCCAUACAGUUACGGUCUGAAACACUGGGGCUCUUGAUUUUUUGAAAUGAUAAAGUCAUCCUUUGCUUUUUCAAGCUUCUCCCUUCUGCUCUGUAGGUAAGUCCUACUGCAAAAAUAUUUCUAUGAAAGACCCCAGACUUACUAAUGUGUAUGCUAUUUCAUCACACUGCUCUUCAGUUCUGUCUGGUAUUCUGCAGAAGACCAGAGUGUGCUUAUAAGGAUACCAGUUUGCCCCAACACUUCAUGUAUGUAAAUCACAAGGGAAAAAAUGUUCACUUCAAGAAAGCAGAGAUGAUUCUUGCUUAGUAGUAUAUUAAAGCACUACUGUCAUUAUUAUUUGUUCUUAUUCCUCCAGAGGAUCUGGGUCUUGAUUAUGAUUCUGUUGUGGUAAGUGCCUCUAUCAAUCACAGGGAGAUCAAGUCCUUGCCUGAAGAUGUGCAUAUAAAGGUACCCCAUACAGUAGCACACCUUGAAGGAGCUUGAUGGUAAUUUCUUAGGUGCCAAAUAUAUUAAUGUGAGUUCAGGCACGUUUCUGAAGUCUGAGGUAUUUAAAGAUAAAACCUUCUGUUUAUUUAUUUGUUUAAAUUAUUCCUGUGAUUCUCACAGGAAUAAUUGUGAUGCAGAAACAAAGGACUUACCUGACUUUUAGAUUUGUAACUUUCUGAACUUUGGAUAUUGUCCUUUAAUAUGUUGAGUGGGGUUGUGUAAGAGUUCUGUGUUAGGUGCUUUCAUCAAAGGAAUGAAAAACUGAAGAUGAAUCCUUGCCGCUAGUUCAGUUUACUUAGGAAUUUACUGAGGAAUUAUCCCUUAAUCUAAAGGUCAUAACAUUUUAAAUAACAUGCUUUUAAUAUUCAGAAUGGACCCAGUUGCCCUCUAAGCAGCUGAUAAUUUUGAAAUGCUUUUUGCCACAGACACCCAUGCAUUACCUUCUCUCACUUUCCUUUCAUACAAAUAAUGAACCUUGAACUUUACUGCAAAUAUGCUUUUGUCUUUUGUUCAAGCAAAAGAGUAAGUGUUGACUUUAAGCCUGCUCAUGUAUGGUGUUCCUGAGUUCACUGCUUGAUUUGUUUGCAGAUAUGGCAAACCGAGAAGAUAUGUUUAAAAUACUGCCAGUUGUUUUUAUGUGCAAGGAGAAUCCCGUCCAUGAAGGAAUCUGAACUAGGAAGAGGAGACAGGAGUUCUUGGCUGCACUCUUUUGCUAGCAUCAUUAAGCCAUUGCCAUAAGAUUGUAUGAAGAUGCACCACCCAAGAAAUUUUAGAUAAAAGGUCACAGUUUGACACCAAAUACAGGACAUAUGUAUACACAUCCAUUCCAUUUCACAUAGCAUCCAUUCUGUCUCCAGGCACAGCUGCAGGACUCUUCAUAAAUAAAUAACCUCGUGUAAGACAGAUUAUGUUCCUCGGAUAUCAAUCACUGGUAAAUAUCGUGUUCCUACUUACGGUGUAAGAAUACCAAAUGGAAACUCAGGAAGAUUUCAGAUUGCCAUUAUAUUUACAGUCCUGGAGCUUACUGCUGAGAAUUAUUGGAUGUCUUUGCCUCUGAAUGUGGGCUGAAAGCUGCAGUGGGACACUCAUUCCUAGCUCACUUCUCAGAUUUUCAAAUCAACAUCGAUCGUACGUCUUAAAACCCUGCCUCUGAAUCACUGUAAAUACUGCAAAAAGAUUCCAGUCUUUGCCAGAUAGGGUCAGUGAGGAAAGAAAAGCCUAAACUCAUCCUUUUCUGAUUCCAUAUCUGGAAAAUGUUUUGGACCAAAGUGUUCUGGGUAUUGUGUGAUUAUAGGGACUAAAUGCAGCAGGGGAGAUGGAGGGAAAUAUAUGUCAAAAAAACACCUGGAGUAUUGGAGUGCCUUCUAGUAGCUGCACAAUGAAAGGACAGUUAUUUCAUUCCCUUUCUUCUACUGGGUCAUCAGCUCUUUUUCUGUCAGUGGUCAGACAUUCCCCAAUUCCAGCUGCAAAUAAUACAUCCCUCCACAUGCUGACAUCAAGAAGUGGGGUUGGUUUAGUUCUGAAUUUUUGCCAUCCUUCAGAGGCAGUGAGUCCAAUUUCUUUGGAAUCCAUUUGAAUGCUUCCCUCACCAGCCAGUGUUCUGCACUGGCCAGAACAAAGGAAAAAGUGAUUAAAAGAGACAGAGGGAUCAAGGUGCUUUAGACUUGUCCAUGUGAAGAAAUGGGUUGUCCAAGGCAGGCAAACCAACACUGCUGCUCUUGGGAAUCUGUUUAAAAUGUGCAACCCAGGAUUCAUUAUUGGGUAGUAUGCUUGCUAAUGUUAUUUUCAUAAGCAGAGAACUUUUAUUUAGGUGUAUUGUGAAUUAAAUUUCUUGAAUUUCGACAGAGUAGUAGUGUUGCUAAAUUAUAACCUCCUUAUACUUAAAGUGAUAAUAUCUCCUAUCAUUAUUUAAGUAAGUUCUACUAUCUAAUUGUAAGGUGAAGGAAGCUGAAGAGGAAAUUAAGCACUGAGAAAAUGCUUCUAUUUUAGCAUUUUCUCUGUUAUUCUUUAUCUAUUUCAUAACAAACCAUAUCUCCUCAAAAAUGGGUCCUGAAUCUAAAGUUAUUCAUGUUGCUUUCCUAAAUUUACAGAAGUUUGCAUUUUAUGUUAAUCAUGUAAGAUAAUUCUGAUCUCAGUCCUUAAGCUUGUGUAGAUUUUUUUCAUCUCUUUUUUCUUAACAUUGAUGGAAAAUAUUCAUAUGCUGUAAUAUCUGGGAGAGUCCACUUUUUAUAUAGACUGCUAUUAAACAGAAAGGACACAGAGUGGGUUUAUAAUAUGUCAGGAGGCAAAGAAGGGAGUUGCCUACCUGUGGCCAAUGAAUAGCUUGAGAGAGCUGAACAGAAUUAUGUUAUAUCUAAAAACAAUACAGAAAAGUAACUAUUCCUUAAAGUGGAAUAAAGAGCGUGCUUCUGAAACCAGUGAGUGACAAUGUAAAGGCACGGUGUGAUGAGGAAUAGGAGUAUUCCCCUUAUUUGGGUCUUUGGCUUGUAUGUACUUAUGUGUAUUACAUUUCCUUGUGUAUGUUUUGUGUUGUGAACUAUUCAAGUUCCUGCUUUUUGUGUGUAUCAAACCUAUGUGUGUUUAUUUUCCCCAGAAAGAUCUAUUUGGCGUGUGUUUUUGAUUGCCAUUUGUCCAGGAACACAUGAUAGUGAAUCAUAGACUAUCCUGAGUUGGAAGAGACUCAAGGAUCAACUCCUGGCUCCGCCUGGGGCAAGCGAAAAGUUAAACCAUAUGUCUAAGAGUGUUCAAACACUUCUUGAACACUGACAGGCUGGGGACCAUGACUUCACUGGGGAGCUUGUUUCAGUUCUUAAUCACCUCUUUAGUGGAACUUUUUCCGAAUCAUGGAGUCAAAGAAUACCAGGUUGGAAGGGUUCGCAAGGAUCACCUGGUCCAACCACUCUUAGCACAAGCACUGUCUCAACAAGAUGGUCCAGCACCCUGUCCAGCCAAAGUGUCCAGUGUUGGGGAAAUCACCACUUCUCUGGGGAGGUUACUCCAAUGCCUGAUUGUUCUCAUUGUGAAAAAUUUUCCUUGUGUGAACAAUCAGAAUCUCCUCAGGAGGAACUUGUACCCAUUACACCUUGUAUUUUACAUGUGACUGCUUGCAAGAAGUGCUGUAGAAGAGCUUCCUUUCACACUGGUUUCAAAAAUCUGAUUGUUUCUAGAAAUGCUAAACUGCUAUGUUAUAGUACAAACAGAAAACCUUUUAGUUAAGAAAAGAUGAAAUGUUUCAACUGGCACAUGUUGACGUGCAAAUGUGUGUAUAUAUACAUAUUCAUAUAUGUAAAACACAGUCUUAUGUAUAUAAUACUUAUAUCAUGAGUAAGAAAUAUAAUACUUACAUCAUGAACUGUGAUAUUAAUGUGCUAAAACUUGAACAGAAAUUCCAGAAUGACCGAAUAGCAUUUUGUCCUUAAAAUUCUGGUGGAAAAGCUGCUGUUUUACCAUUUUCUUUACUGUUAAAAAUUCAAGAAAGCUGUCUUUCAUUAAAAGUAAGAAUAAGGGGAAAUAAAAGUGCACAAACCCUUCUCUUCCGGAUUCUUUUGACAGAGCUUACUGUUGGAUUUCAGCAGGCACGUGUGUUUGAGGAGAUGUUGGUUUGUAUUCCAAACUGUGCUGACCUUACCACCAUAAGCUACUGAUAUCAUAAAAUGCCUCAAAUACGGUUUAGACAUCAGAUCACUAUCCCACUCUCAGAGUUGAUUAUAUUUGGCCAACAAGUUAAAAAAUCACCGAACCUAGAAAAAAGCCAUGAUCUCAUUAAGCUUAAUUUCCCCCAGAAAUCCGGCCAAAGUGUUAAGACAAAAAGAUACAGUGUAUUUGAGAAGGGAAUGUAGAAAUAGCAUUUAGUGUUUUCAAAGAGAACUAAAGAUUUUUUUGGGCUGGGAGUGGGGAUUGGUUGCUGGUGAAUCGCAUAUAUAAUUCGUCAGUUGUCCUCAUUUAUUUUGAUACUUGUGAAUUUGUAACACAGGCAGUGACACUUUAAAACAAAAUGCUUCUCCUCCUCUUCUUUUUCUCACUGAUUUUCUUUAACUUCAUCUGUGUUGACAGAAAGGAGUCGGAAGGAAGGGAAUUUGGACGAAUUUAUCUGUCAUAAUGGGAGAAGAAAGGCAAUGAAGAGCUUCUAAUGUUUUAGCAUGCAUUAGAAUGUUAAUAGACAAUUAUCAUAAUUAAAUAAAAACAUAAUGGAUUCUAAGUAGUGUGCCAGUUUUCGAAAUGCAAGUAUCCUUGUUGUCUCUUACUUGAGAGAUACAAAUCAAGUUGUCUACUAAAUCCAGGAGAUGUCAAAGCACAUGUUUUAUUUAUCAUGGUGUGUUCAUCUAUUUGUCUUCCCUUUAUUGAAAAUGUGGGUUGGUUUGAGAUUUAAAAUUGUUAAUUUUCUACCGUCUCUCUCUACUUGAAUGUCCUUUAUUUUCAUGUGCAGUCAAAGAAGCACGAGAAUAAGCUUCCAUGCUGUGCGGAUAAAUAACUCCUCUAGCAAGUGGAGAGAAUUAAAACACGGCAUUAGCAGCAAUAGCUGCAUUAGUUGGAAUGGUUUACCCAGGAUGUGCUUACUGAUAAACUUGUAUCUAUUUAAGAAAGAUCUAAUUAGGUUCUUUUUGUUACAUAAACGAAACCAUAUUAUUAUAAUAAAAUAUACAUAAAAUAAUGAAUAGACAUAAUUUUUUAUAAUUUCAUUCAAGUGAGAUGACUUAAAGGUAAUUUCUACAUUUUAAGCACUUAGUUUCAUGACAUUUCCUAGCAAUUUACCAAUUAUAAUGCCUCAAAUGUUUGCCAUUAUUAAGAAACAUUUAAUGUAAGAUUAGAUCAGUCAUAAAUAUUUUAUCAGGAGAAAAUAUAUUAUUUCAGGUACAUCCCAACAUCUUUAUGCCUGUAAUUCUGUGCAUCUGCAUACCAAUAAAAGGGAUGCUGUAUUAGCAUAUUGCACUCCUACUACAUCCUUCUGUUGUCGGAGGUGGACACAGGCAGCAGCAGCAGGAGCAGCCUGGUGUGGAACUUCCUGGAGAACACUCACUGUUUUACAAAGAAAUAACACACCUCAGAAGACUUGCUUGCUAUGGAUUCCCCUUAGUCGUCUAUACUAAUGCAAGCUGCAGUCGCCAUUCAAUGCAUAGAAGGCUUUUAUUAAGUUGUAAGGUGAUACAGUAGAAGCUGAAACUAAAAUAAGAACAGAAGUCUCUUCCUUUUCUCCUUCAAAUUCUUUUGGAAAGCACACAAGAUUUGACUUUCACAUCUUAUAAAGAUAUAGCAACAGAAGACUUUAAAGCCAUGGGAAUAACUUUUGGCUUGAAUUUCAAUGCAUAUCUCCAGGGACUAUAAACUCAAUUCAAACUGCUUUCUACUGAACAAAUUGCAGGAUGACAGCAGCCAUGAGCUUUAGGUGUUUUCCAGAUGAAGUGUUGGACCAAAUGAGUCUACUGGUGUAUCAUUGUAAGGAGUCUGUAAAGGCAGCUUCUGUUUAAAGAUCCCUGAUUACUGCAUAGGUGUGUUGGUGUUCCUGGACAGUUCUAGUGUGCCUCAUUUUUUCACAAUAUUGGAAGCUUGGCCAUGUGCAGAGAUUCUCUUAUCUAAGGAUACCAGCUGUUUACUGGAGGAUGAAACUAGUUGUUCCUUUCUCAAGCAAUGUCUGUCACACGGAGACAAAAAUCACAUAGGGCCUCCACAACUGAAAAAUGAAGGCAGCUGUAAGAGCUCUGAUGAACCUGUUUGGACAACAGACAGCAAAAAAAAAUACCUGUCUUGGUGGAGGAGUUUAAGAACGCUGCAGAGAUCAUCAGACAGUACACAAUAUCUUGGCUCACAUGGGCCAUUCUCUUUAUCUCAAAACAAUACCAGCCAGGCUCCUCCGUACCUACAACUGAAGAGCUGCAGGAGCAGGAGGACAGUAACUGAUACAGCUUAUUUAAAUGUGAAUCUCCUUGUCUUGUUAAGAAAAAAAAGAAAAAAGAAAAAGAAAGAUAAAUACAUGAAUUCAAAGCAAGGGAAGAUAUCUGAUUCCAAGGAAGAAAACUAACCACGGCAGGUUGAAGCUACAGGGGCAGUCCUGACUUGCCCUUCUCCAUCCAGCUACUUUACUUCAAAAAGUGUUCCUUCAAAAAGCAGCAGCUCCCAGGGAUCAGUGCUUAAAACGAUGCAGGGGUCUUGCUGAGCCAUUGCCAACCCUCGGCAGCGAGGCUGUGCCAAGCAGAAGGAUUGCAGUGAGCCUCGUUCCAUGUCCUGGGGGAGCCAAAUCCCAAGUGUGGCAAAACCCUCUGGGGGGGGUAACACAGUGGAUGAUUGAUUGUACCCGCCAGCUGGCUAAUAUCAUAAUUAACAAAGUUGCUACCAUGUCUGAGAAGUUUAAUCGAAAAAAUUGCCGGCAGUAUGAUGCCAUUGUCACAGAGAUCACAAGCGCAGCAGUGUUGACUUUUGCACUGGUGGAGCCGCAGGACUAUGUAGAUGUGCUGAGAAGUCGUUCACUGGGAUAACUAAAGUGAGGUGUGAUUGCAGACAGAGCGCGGCCGGGCUGCGGUAGAACCAGCCAGUGGCAACCUGCCUUUGCUCUGCUCGCUCCCGCCGGAGCAGCCGUGCCAUGGGGACGCCGAACUUGGGAGCAGCUGCCUGCAAUGAACCUUCACGUGCAGGAAUACCGGCAGGAGCGCGUGGAAGCAUCAGUGAGGUUUAGCUGGUGGAUCAUAUUGUGAAAUCUGCAGCCAUGAAAGGCCCUCCAUUUACUGCACCCUUCAAAACGGAAUGUUAGCAUGGGAGGCUAAGCUGGAGGCUAAUAACGAAGGAGUCAGUGAAGGAGACCAAUGCCACGAGGGUUAUCUCGCAGCCCCAGAUGCUGGAUAAGUUGAAGGAGGCAGAAUCGCUUUUGGAUGACAUUCAGGAAGGCCUUGAAUGAUUAUCUGGCGAAGAAAAGACUAUUCUUUCCAAGGUUUUUUUCUCCAGAUGCAGCAAUGAUCUCUUAGGAAUCCUUUUUGAGACAAAGGAUCCACUCCACGUCCAACCAAACCUAAGGAAAUGCUUUGAAGGAAUUGACAAGCUCACUUUUAAUCACAGGAGAGAAAUUACCCACAUGGAGUCAGCAGAAAAUGAAAAAGUAGAGCUCAUGCUGCGAAUAAUUUCAGCAAGUGCCAAGGGGCUAGUUGAGAAAUGGCUUCAUGAGGUGAAUAUCUUUAGCUCUUACUUAGGGUUUAGUUACUGUAUGAUCAUUUUCUCUUUUAGGAGCAAUGAAUAUUAUAAGUGUAUACUAAAUAGCUCUCUGAAUAUUUUUCAGGAUGUUGACAGAUUUCAACCUUGUUGUUAUGUAUUGCAACUAAUUUAGCUUCUGCAAACAUGCAGAAAUUAAUCCUAAUAAAAAUCUCUCUUGAAUCAAGCUGUCAGCAGUAGUCAGUCUGUGUCUGAAACCAUAUGUGUGAAUAUAUGUUUGAGUCUACAUGUAUGUGUUUUUGUGCUUAUGUGGUGUAAUGUCUGUAGUUCAGGAGGAUAAUGUGUAAAAAAUAAUUGAAGAAAUGUAAGAUUUUGAAUUCUUCCCUCCACCCUGCAGAAAGUGUGUCCCAUUGUGUUGGAGGGGUUUAAUAUCCAAUCAUUUUAACAAAAGGGAAGAGAAAUUAUGUCACUGAUAACAUCCUAACCUUUCCCCUUUGGGCCUCUAAUCUAAAUUCAUUGGUUUCAGUGUGAAAUUAGUUUGGUGACCUUUUUUGUUUGCUUUAUUUAACCUUCCCCUCCCAGUGGAUGGGAAUGGGACCUUUCAUUCUUUUUUCUUUCUGGGCAUUUUUCUUCCAUGUGCUUACUUUUCUCCUGGGGCAGAAUCAGCCCCAGGAAUUCCACUUCCCCUUUGUUUGCUGUUGUGGGUACUGUUCUUGUCCUCAGUGGCUUUUCCCUGGGUGCUCCCUAGGCAAGGGUAAGUGGCAGGGACUGGCACCCAGCUCCAGCAGGAGAGGGAAGGGGAGGCUGGGGGCUGGUGUUUUCAUAGCCAGAUAAUUGGGCAGAGGCUGGGGGGAAUCCCUGGGCAAUGAAACCUGGAGCAGGUGGUGGGUUAAAGGUGUUUGGCCCUAUUGUGUGUUGUGUUUCUACCGGCUGGGUGAGCAAAGCUGGACUGCAUAAGCCCACUUGUGAAUCCCUGUUUCCCACCCAAUGAAGCUGCACAGCAGCAAUGUGCCAGCUUUGGAUGGAGCCCCUUUAGGGACUGUCUGCACGCCGUUUAAGAUGGUCCAUCUGCAUCAUCAUUCAGGAUAGAAGGGAGAAGAGGGAGGGGAUGAUUUAGGCAAGCCCAAACACUUCCCAUCCUGCUCUCUCUGUCAAGUCACUAGCAUGGUUUUGGACUAGUUUACAGACAAAACUUCCAUAAAAAAAAAAAAAGAGUGAUAGUGGGUAAAUGGCAGUCCUGAGGAGCUCAGAAAAACCCAGAAUCUCAAGCCUGUGAUACAAUUUUUAGUUUUCACCAACAGGGUUGGGGGAGGUGAGCAGCUGUGUUUAUUUUAAUACAUCUAUUUUAACCCUCACCUAAAAACAAAUAGGAAGGUUUGGGAGUGCAUUAAUCUGGAUCUGAUUAGUGUCUCUUUCUCCCUCAAAAGUGCAACCUGAGAUUAAUGAAUAUAAACUAGAGUUUCAUAUGCAGUCUUUAAGUCAUUUGCAUGUUUUAUGCAUGAUAAUUGAAUUUAUUUAUGCACUUCCUUUCAUUUAAUGAUUUCUCGCUCUUUUCUAUGCUAUCAACAUUAUAUUAUGCAAGAAGUAGGAUUUGGUAGGCAAGAAAAGAUAGCAGUAUAUAAAUCAAACUCGAGUUAAUUUUGAGUUCUAGUGUCAGCACUAGAUCAGAAUUAGUACUAGUCCCAUGCCAUGGGUUUAUGUAGCUGGGAAAACGUAAAAUAUUUUUGGUAAAGAAUAGACUUUUAGCUUGAGAUGUUUCUGAUGCAGCUUAGUUUGCUUGCAAGUGUACAAGCAAAAUUAUUUUUAAAUGGCAGUUAAAUUAUUGUAUUGACUUUUCAAUGACUCUAGAGACUCGUGUUUCUACUUGGCCAAUUAGUAGUAAUAAGAAGAUGAAUACUAAUUACACUAAUAAAUAACUGUGUUUAGACCAGGACCUCAGAAUUAUAGUCUGGCUUAGAAAAUAAGUGUAUUUUAUAAUUUGUCUCAUUUGGUCUUCCAUCAGGAGAAAUAGGGACUUUGCAGCUAUAGUAAAUCUAUCAUAGCCAAGAAGGUAAAGGUCCUAGGGAUGAGAGGGUCAUAUUUGGUAGCAGCUCUGUGACAGUAGCUGUUUCAGUGCCAUAGGGAGGGAAUCUUGUUCUGCUUCUGCAGUUAAGCUCAGAUGUCUUAAAGGUGUCUUAGUGUUGGAGUCCGAUUUUUUUAUAAUGCAUGCCAGGAAGUUAGUAAGGAAAAUUAGGGAAAAGAUGCUGGUAGUGGUGCUUUCAUAGCUUUUAUCUAUACCAGUUUCUUUUGUGUCUCUUGUCUUUCCUUAUGUCUUGAAAGAUGUAUGUGGAAGUGAUAUUUUUCUGUGGUGUCCUGUCUUUUAUCAGUGAAUUAAAUGGUUGUGUCUUGUGAUUGUUUCUGAUUCUCAUAGGUAGGACUGUGUUUAAAGGCUAAAGCUCUGUUAAUUUGUGAUGUAACCAUUUCAGUGUCUUUCUUGUCAUUGAAAUGUAGUUGAAAAUGUUUAGUAAUGUAGCAUGAAAUCAUUGGUUAGUUUUGGAAUGGUGGUGAAAUCAUGUGAAGAAAAUAAGUAUUGCAUCUGAUCAAGAUAAAUUCACUCUAGUGUUUUAUGGCUUUUUAUUCCUAUGUGAUAGUAAUAAAGUCUCAUGUAGGGAUGGAAGCCAUGAAAUACAUUGUGAAAAAUCAUCAACUCAGAUGGGGCCAUCAGGAUAGCAUGCUGUAGUUGUAGAGUUAUUGAGAAUGAUUGGAAGAUGGUUCAGUAUGUCAUCACUUUGACUACCAUGUUUUUGCAUUUUGUUUCUUCAUCCUUCACCCACUUAGUUUGAUGAGAGGAAAUCAGUUUGUAACAAGAUGAUCCAUCUUUACAUCAGUGUUCAGUCUUUAAAUCGUUCCUACAUCUUUCAUUUUCUCCCAAAGAUAAUACUGUAUAUGAAACCCUUAGCUAAGAAUUAAAUAUAGCUAAUAAACACAUGCUAAAAUGAAUACAAAGAAAAGCCCAUGAACUUCUAAAUGCUUGGAAAUAAGGAAGGAAACAAAGCAAGGUCUGCCCUGUUAGCAACUGGUCCAGGUUCUUUAUUUCCACGUUUAAGAGCAAAUCUGAGAGGUGAUCCAGGGAUUAAAAAAGAAUUCUUUUCUCUGCCUGCAUGUCUUUCUGAAAGUGCUUGUUCUUUUUCUCUCUGGAACUGAGGUGAAGGCUGACAGUGUUGGGCUCAGAAAACAAUUUCUGACAAAUUCCUUACACUGCUGCUGUUCCACAUAUUGCCUUACUGCUCCGUCUCCUUUGCUUUUGUGUACCAGUUUCUUCUGGGAAUAUUUUGGGGAAUGUUAUUUAUUCUGAUGUAACUAUUUAUGACUUUUUGUUGUAGUAUUUCUCUGAAGCAUAUGUUAAUAAAACAUUACUGAUUUUUUAGUA